GGCACAUGGCGGCGCCGGAAGCCGGGCCGGGCCUCGGCGCCCGGGGACCUGUCCCGGCUCCCCGACUCCGACUGGCCUUGAUGUAACCUGUUCCGGGUCCCCCAUUCUGGCCAGAUCCGGAUAACUUGUCUCAGGUCCUUCACUCUGGCUCGUCCUGGACUGACCAGUCCCGUGUUUCCCACUUCGCCGAGCCUGGAGUAACCUGUCUCGGGACCCCCACUCUGGCCAGAUUCAGACUAACCUGUCCCGGUUCCCACACACCGACUGGGCGCAGGGCAAACCUCCUCCGGUCCCACUCUGGUCGAGUCUGGGUGAUCUGCCUUGAGUCUCCCUAAGGUCAGGUCUGGGUCUAGCUCGGACCAGAUCUUAGAUGACUUGCCUAAGUCUCCUUCUGAGUAUGUCCGAGGUGACCCGCCCAAGGUUCGUCUCAGGCCAGGUCAGGGGUGACCUGUCUCCAAGUUACUCUUCAGCAUGGUCCUGGAGGAUUUGUCCUGGUCCCGGUUCUGGCCGAGCGGGAGCCCUGCCCUACCUCCAGCCUGUGGUCGCAGUCAUCCGGCACCCUCCCCUCCGCCCCAUCGCACCCCCCGCCCCGAACCUCGGGGUCAAAUUUCCCUAGGCCCAGGGACUCUGGGGAGCGAGGCUCCUGGAGCAGAAAGGGAAUUUUUGCCUCCAGUGGAAGGAAAGAACCCCCCACUGGCUUGGCGUUUGAGAUUCAAGAGGCAGGUUGCGUUUUGUUUUUCCUUCUUGCAUUGCCUGUUGCUGAAACUGACCUGUUACGUAACCCCCAGCCCUGCCUUGGAAAAGUUAGGUUUGAGUUUGUUCCUCCAGAAGGCAGUGGUGGUGGAUUUUACAUAAAUGGGUCUGCCACAUCGGAAACUUGUUUUUAAUGAAGUGAACGUUUAGCGAAAGCUACUUAGGUAUUUUAAAUUUAGGUUUGGGUUGUGAGAAGUUAUCAAGUGUAUACUUUUCUGACCUGGGUUCCUGCCCAGGGGGUGGGAGAAGGGGUUGGUUAAAGUCCUAGGAAACGUCACCAUCAUCCUCUGAAUCUCAGAUUCCAUUCACCAGGUUUCCCUGUGCCUGGUACAUCCUUCAGGUUUAUUUUCCUUAAUUCUUAACCAGGGGGGAGGUACAAGGCUCACCUUGCCACAGGUGUCCCAUUGACGUGAGGAAACACUGUAUGGACUAGGGGAGGCACCCUAUCCUCUCCCAGAGUGAGCUCAGACUCUGUCUUGAGGGAUGGGGGUUGUGUUCUGGUUGGGAGUCUGGUUGGGUUGAGUCACUCCUGUGGGUAGACCACCCACUUGAGAUUUCUUUUAGCCCCUAAUAGAAGCAAAAAACAUUUGAGUCAUUCUGACCCCAGAUUCCUUAAAAAUAGAAGCCUGAUGGGUGGGGCAUCAGGGAGAACAGGUGUGUAAGUGUGUAUGUUUUUCAGUUUCAUUUACACGUGGUGGAGGAAGGGAAGAGAGGGGAGAGUUUGCCUGGAGAGAAGAAUGAGCUGCUGGAAGCAUGUGUUCAUACCUGUAGUCUCAGACUCUGUAGACCUCUCUGUUGUCACAGCUGUAAAAUGGAGACAAAGCAGUUUUAGUUUUGUUACUUUUAAACAUACAUGAAAUUUGGACUCAUGUCUGAAUGGACCAGAUAGUGCUGUCUGUAACUUGUGCCCAGCGUGCCCAGAAGGCCGAGGAUAAAGAUCUCUUGAUCAAGCAGUGUGCCACAAUCUGUGGCAGCUCAGUUAAUCCUGAUGACCCACCCACCUGUAGCCUAACUUUGGAUUUGUAUUUGGGGAAGAGGCGAGUAAUAUUCUUUGUGUCACAAGAGGAAGCCCUGAAUUUGGGUGUUGGAAAGUGGAAAAAAGUUGAUUAUCUCCAAUCAGUGGCAUUGACAACCGCCACAGCAUUUGGGAAGAUUUUCCUUGUUUGUCUUCAGACUUGGCUGUGUAACCCAGCGGUCCCCAACUCUUGGUAUUAGGGAUGGAUGCUCCUAUGAAAAUCUAAUACCUAAUGAUCUAAGGUGAAGCUGAGGCCGUGAUACUAGCCCUGGGGAGCUGCUGCAAAUACAGAUGAAGCUUCGCUCACUAGCCUGCUGCUCACUUCCUGCUGUGUGGCCUGGUUCCUAACUGGCCACGGACUGGUAUUGGUCCACGGACCAGGAGUUGGUAACCCUGGUAAUUAGCUGUAUGGGGGGGCUUCCAGAGAGAUUAAAAAAAAUUUCCCAUUCUGAA